UACAUGCAAGUCGAGCGAAUCGAUGGGAGCUUGCUCCCUGAGAUUAGCGGCGGACGGGUGAGUAACACGUGGGCAACCUGCCUAUAAGACUGGGAUAACUUCGGGAAACCGGAGCUAAUACCGGAUACGUUCUUUUCUCGCAUGAGAGAAGAUGGAAAGACGGUUUACGCUGUCACUUAUAGAUGGGCCCGCGGCGCAUUAGCUAGUUGGUGAGGUAAUGGCUCACCAAGGCGACGAUGCGUAGCCGACCUGAGAGGGUGAUCGGCCACACUGGGACUGAGACACGGCCCAGACUCCUACGGGAGGCAGCAGUAGGGAAUCUUCCGCAAUGGACGAAAGUCUGACGGAGCAACGCCGCGUGAACGAAGAAGGCCUUCGGGUCGUAAAGUUCUGUUGUUAGGGAAGAACAAGUACCAGAGUAACUGCUGGUACCUUGACGGUACCUAACCAGAAAGCCACGGCUAACUACGUGCCAGCAGCCGCGGUAAUACGUAGGUGGCAAGCGUUGUCCGGAAUUAUUGGGCGUAAAGCGCGCGCAGGUGGUUCCUUAAGUCUGAUGUGAAAGCCCACGGGUCAACCGUGGAGGGUCAUUGGAAACUU
rnacentral:rRNA from 2 species